rnacentral:rRNA from 1 species
CUCGUAGGCGGUUUGUCGCGUCGGGAGUGAAAACACCGGGCUUAACCCGGUGCUUGCUUUCGAUACGGGCAGACUGGAGGUAUGCAGGGGAGAACGGAAUUCCUGGUGUAGCGGUGAAAUGCGCAGAUAUCAGGAGGAACACCGGUGGCGAAGGCGGUUCUCUGGGCAUGACCUGACGCUGAGGAGCGAAAGUGUGGGGAGCGAACA